rnacentral:rRNA from 1 species
UCUCGGCAAAUUAUCCUCAUAAGUUUGACAAUAAGAGAAACCAUAUAAAAUUUAAAUUAGCCAAAAUUUAAUUAAUAAUAUGGAAUAAUAAAAUCGGAGGCCACGACUGUUUACUAAAAACACAAUUCAGAGCAAUGAUUAAGAUAAUAGUAUUCUGGAUGAAAUUUGCUCAAUGCCAUUAAUAUAAGAGAGGUAAUUUUAAAGUUACUAAUCGAAAAUCUGGUUAAUAGCGGUCUUAACUAUGAGGAUCCUAAGGUAGCAAAAUAAAUUGGCCAUUAAAUGUGGUCUUGUAUCAAUAAUGUAACGAUGGUCUCACUGUCUCUACAACUUGCUCAGUGAAAUUGAAUUGCGAGUGCAGAUGCUCGCUGUCUUCAGAGGGACGGGAAGACCCUAUGCAGCUUCUACUGA